rnacentral:rRNA from 1 species
AUGGCGGAACGCUUGGCUUCGAUAUUUGGUACAGAGAAAGACAGUGUCAACUGUCCAUUUUUUACUUCAAGAUUGGAGCUUGUCAUCAUGGCGAUCGCCGCUCCCGCAUCCAUAACAGGCCAACCAUGA